UGCCAGCCGCCGCGGUAAUACGGAGGGUGCAAGCGUUGUCCGGAUUUAUUGGGUUUAAAGGGUGCGUAGGCGGUCUUUUAAGUCAGAGGUGAAAUCCCACAGCUUAACUGUGGAACUGCCUUUGAAACUGGAAGACUUGAGUAUAGUUGAGGUAGGCGGAAUUUAUGAUGUAGCGGUGAAAUGCAUAGAUAUCAUAAAGAACACCGAUUGCGAAGGCAGCUUACUGGACUAUAACUGACGCUGAGGCACGAAAGCAUGGGGAGCGAACAGGAUUAGAUA
rnacentral:rRNA from 1 species